rnacentral:lncRNA from 1 species
CCCCUAUUAUUAAUUAUAAUAAAAUGUACUUUGUUUUUUUUUUUUUUCUACAUAUAAUUUUUGAUCCACUUGUAAAUAUUAUAUAUUAUUAUUAUUAUUAUUAUUAUUAUUAUUAUCAUCAUCACGGUAAACGCAUUCUAAAUAUUAUUAUAAAACGUUAACAUUACGUAUAUUAUAUUGUUAUCGGUACCGUAAUAUAAACAAUAUUCCCCCCUAACACCCCUCCCCCCCAACCACCAACCGCCGCCGCACUACCCGCGGUGUUCGGCGAACGCGAUAUUUUUUUUUUUUUUUUUUUUUUCUAAGAGAACUAUAAGUCUAAAUCCAAAAAUAUACCAAUACCGACAAUAUUGUCACCACGGAUACCCGUAUAUAGUACGAUUAUGCCUAACGCGACAUUAUCAUUAUAUUUUAUACUUGUAUGUAUUUUUUUUUUUGCAUUUCAUACACCGAACAACGACCGAUAACAAUUAUUGGUAUAAUAACACGCGUGCGAAAAAUACUAAAGGCGUUUUAUUUAUUUUUUUAACACUAAAGCGGUUUCGUUAUUUACCGUGCCUGUUCGUCGUCGAUAAAUAUCACAAAUAUUGCGUUUUACGUCUUAUUUUUUAAAUUUUUUUCUUUUUUUUUUUUUUUUUUAUCGCGUCGACCGAACGCGCCGUCCGAAACGAAUCGCGAUCAAAUAAAUCGGUCUUACUCAAAUACUACACGAUUAUGCCGCGUGACCAUAUUAUUAUUACAAUAAUAUAUUAGUGUUUAAUUAUUAUUAUUAUUAUUAUUAUUAUUAUUAUCAUCAUCAUCAUCGUUACUAUUAUUAUUGCGCAUUCAUACGCAUACAUACACCGCGAUAAAAAUUAUUAUUUUUUUCCCUUUUUGUAAUUCGUAUACGCCUAUAUGUUUAUUAAUUUUUUGUUUUUUUUUUUUUUUUUUGUCCACGACAUAAUUAUUAUACGCGCGCCGAGAACCAUUACGGUACCAUUGUAGAGACACCCGUUUGAUAUUACGACCCGCUGUAACGCGCGUUACGGCACGGCGUCGUAGUAAUUUAUAAUAUUUAGUACCGCGCGGUGUACGCGCGCUUGCGUACGACCAAAAUACCGUCCCUCCGCCCUCCACCCCCUUGACUUACAAUACGACAUAACACACGCGUGCUCGACUUCGACGGCAACGUCUAAUAUAAUAUAAUAAAAUUAUUAUGUAUGUGUGUAUAUAUAUAAAUAUAAAUAUAAAUAUAAAUUUAAUGUCUAUUAUUUACUCGUACGACAUUGUAAUGUUCGUUAUAUGAUUUUAUCAUUGCAACGCCCUACUAAUAUUAUUGGUAUUACGUUAUUAUGUACCGUUUUAUAAAAAACACAACGGAUUAAUAAAACGUGACGUGAUGCACUGAAACGGUCGAAAAUCGCAUAUCGUCGCCCUUCCUUUGAUUUCGUUUGAGCCGAAAUUUCAACAUUUUCUCGAGGCUCUGGGGAUGUCCAUCCGUGUUGUACGUGUACGUAAAAAAAUUAAUUUAUCGGUUCUAUUUCUCGGCGAAUUUCCCCCGAAAACUGAGACGUAUGCGUUGUACGAUAUUGUUAUGCAGCAUCGUCAGUAGCGAAACCGAAAGUCCUAAUGUCCGCGGCAAAAUAUCUCACCGCAUAGAGAGCCCAAAACAAAACCGCC